UACAGAGGUCUCAAGCGUUGUUCGGAUUCAUUGGGCGUAAAGGGUGUGUAGGUGGCGCCGUAAGUCGGGAGUGAAAUUUCGGAGCUUAACUCCGAAACUGCAUUCGAUACUGCGGUGCUUGAGGACUGGAGAGGAGACUGGAAUUCAUGGUGUAGCAGUGAAAUGCGUAGAGAUCAUGAGGAAGACCAGUGGCGAAGGCGGGUCUCUGGACAGUUCCUGACACUGAGACACGAAGGCCAGGGGAGCAAACGGG
rnacentral:rRNA from 1 species